GCCCGACUGCAAGUCUGAAUCUAUUUCAAGUCAUUAUCUUUUCUUACAUUAUGUUCAGUGUUCCAAGCCGAAAAGUACAAUGUCAGAGCAAGUAAAUAAAUUCAAAUCUAAAGCAAAUACGUUCAAUCAGAGCCAUACAAUAUUCUAAAAAAUAUACAUAUAAUCCAUGCAUCAAAUUCGAAAUCACGAAUAAUUCGAUUCGUAAAACAGAUAUUUAGUUUGCCGAUAAAUCUAGUAAAGAAGUUACAUCACUUACCU
rnacentral:lncRNA from 1 species